AUUCAGUAAACAUACUCUUAGAGCACUCCCAUUGGUCAUCCCAAGGGGAUGUCUUUUAUUUUUUUAAUAAUAAAGUGAAUGAAAAAUAAUGUUUUAAUCGAUAAUUUUCUGAGAUCCGUGUCUCUGCCCAGACUCUUUUAGAUACUGAGAGACACUUAACGUGUCAAAAUUUUAUUGGUUUCGAUUGGUUUUGUUUUUUUUUUUUUUUUUUUUUUUUUUGUCUUCUCUUCAUUUGCUUCUCUUCUCGACACAAACGAAACCAAACGAGAGUAUGAAUCGAUUUUUCAAAAUCGAGUAGAACAUGAGUAAGCUUUCAUUUUUUUUGUUUGUCGGUGGCUUUGUGAGAAUGUUGGUGCUCAUAGGAUCCUUCUCGUGUGUUCUUCUGCUGGCCAUUCUCUCAUCCCCCACUUGGUGAUUUGUUCUCUGCAACUCAGUCCUCCACUUGGUGACCAUCAACUUCCUAAGGUGUUUCACUCUCCUAUCUACAACUGGCAUUUGUGUCUUCAACAUACAUUGUGUUUAAUCAUGAGUCGAAAACAAUGUAUGUUGCGUUUCUAAUCAAAGUUUGUAUCGUUUUCAAUCAAAGUUUGUGUUUAAUCGUGAGUAGCACAUGAGUAGUGAAUAAUCUUAUACAGACACAGAACCAUUAUUUGUAUUGUGUGGCUGUUUAUUUGCAGGAUAGGUUCUGUUUAAUUUUUGGUUCUGUUUUA